ensembl:snoRNA
AGCCUCCUGGUGCGUAUGAGGCUAUGUUCUUACACUGUAUAGAAAGAGGAGGCAGAGUAAACCCAUCCAUAAACAUCUCAGCCCAGGCCCUUUUCCUGGUCUGUAUUGUGGCUGGGNGGGGGGGG